AAAAAGGGUGCUAAACACAAGGUUCAAGCUUAUAGAGGGGGGCUAAGUGGAAUUAGGCUUAGACAAAUUUAUAGCAAAGGGUUCAACAAGGGUUCCAGGUACAACUGGGCUUUCAUAAAAGAGGGGUUUCCAUACAUAUAUUGGGCUUUAAAGGCUUUCCAGACAGGAACUAGGCUUGGGGAAAAGACAAGUCAAACGAG
rnacentral:lncRNA from 1 species